rnacentral:rRNA from 1 species
CAGUCUGCAACUCGACUGCACGAAGCUGGAAUCGCUAGUAAUCGCGAAUCAGAAUGUCGCGGUGAAUACGUUCCCGGGUCUUGUACACACCGCCCGUCACACCAUGGGAGUCGGAAAUGCCCGAAGCCGGUGACCAAACCAAUAAGGAAGGAGCCGUCGAAGGCAGGUCUGAUAACUGGGGUGAAGUCGUAACAAGGUAUC